rnacentral:rRNA from 1 species
GUGCCAGCAGCCGCGGUAAGACAGAGGGUGCAAACGUUGUUCGGAAUUACUGGGCAUAAAGCGCACGUAGGUGGUCUGCUAAGUCAAGUGUGAAAUCCCCCGGCUCAACCGGGGAAUUGCGCUCGAUACUGGCAGGCUCGAGGUUGGUAGGGGUGAGCGGAACUCCAGGUGGAGCGGUGAAAUGCGUAGAUAUCUGGAGGAACACCGGUGGCGAAAGCGGCUCACUGGACCGAAUCUGACACUGAGGUGCGAAAGCUAGGGGAGCAAACGGGAUUAGAUACCCCGGUAGUCC